rnacentral:rRNA from 1 species
GUGAGGAAUAUUGCGCAAUGGAGGCAACUCUGACGCAGCCAUGCCGCGUGCAGGAAGAAGGCGCUACGCGUUGUAAACUGCUUUUAACCGGGAAGAAACCCCAGGACGUGUCCUGGGUUGACGGUACCGGAGGAAUAAGCACCGGCUAACUUCGUGCCAGCAGCCGCGGUAAUACGAAGGGUGCAAGCGUUAUCCGGAUUCAUUGGGUUUAAAGGGUGCGUAGGCGGAGCGUUAAGUCAGAGGUGAAAUCCUGCAGCUUAACUGUAGACUUGCCAUUGAUACUGGCGCUCUUGAGUGCGCUUGAAGUGGGCGGAAUGUGCCGUGUAGCGGUGAAAUGCUUAGAUAUGGCACAGAACACCAAUUGCGAAGGCAGCUCACUAAGGCGAUACUGACGCUGAGACACGAAAGCGUGGGGAUCGAACAGGAUUAGAAACCCGAGUAGUCC